UAAUAUGCCUUAGCAUUAAUAAAAAAUAAAUUUAAAAAAAACAAUAAAUGAAUUUCUCCCUUUCCACGAUAGCUAAAAAAUAAAAGUACUUGAUGUGAACAUACAAAUUUGGUGACUUGCCCUGAAUAUUUGAAAUUCGCUCAAAAAUAGAAUUUCAAUUUUUAUCGAUUGAUUGGAAACAGGGCAAGCUAUCGGAAAUAACCAUGUACUACGCGGACGAUAGGGGUCGGCGGUGCUUCUCUUUUUACAGUUGAAUGAAAUAUUUGAGAUCCCUUUGAAGCCUCUAUCUAUUAGUGAAAAAAUAGCCAUAGAAACGACCGAUUUACAAUAUAUGUAUGUGUGCAUACAAAGUAGAUGCCGAUUUUUUAACGUCACUCUCCAAAAACGCGCUCCUUCCAUUCAGUUUUGAGAAUCGACGAAGUUUUACAAAAAUGUAUUGAUGUUUUACUUUGUUUUGUUUUGUUGAAGCAUCGAUACUUAGCGUUUGUUAUGUGUCUACAUUAACUACUACGGCAACGCCGGCCAGCCAGUACUCUCUUUAGGGAUGGGCAUUUCCUGCCCACCGUCACGAACAAUCGCACAACACUAAACUAAAUCUGCACAUCACUAAGCAGUUGACUCAAAAACGUAAACAAAGGCUAGUGACAAAACAAUGCAAAAAUAAAGCUAACAAAAUUUCGGCGGGUUCCUUGUUGUUGCCGUUGCACAUAAACCUAUCCUGUGAUGACUUCUAUUCGAACGGCAGCAUUCCCCUUCCUAACGUUAACGAAUUUUUUGCCGGACAUUUUCUUUUUCACUAUGAACAAAAGACAGACGACAAGACUUUUGCCUGUUGCCGCUGGAAACAAUAAUCGAUUAUAAUUUUUUACUGAGUGAAUAUAAUUCUCGAAUUGGAAAUUAUGUGAGGCAUAUAAGUUUGAAAGAUUGCUACCUUACUCUAUCUAAAGAGCUCUCCGGCAGCCCAAAAUGUAAGCCACAACAAUAUGCAUCAAUGUUUUAUUCUAAUGCAUCGAUAUUGAGCUUUGAUGUUCACCGGUAAAUCGAUGUACAUUUCUAUUUCAUCUAUUUCAUCAUCAACAAUGAUGCAAAAGCCAAUUCAGCAAUUGGCAACCCUACCAAGAAGCGUUA